UCUCUUCCACAGGUCCUUGGCUACUUCACUGUCAAUCAAAUACUGAAUAAAAGAGAUAGCCCUCUCCUGGGGGGCCGUGGCCCUCUUGGAUAGCAGCCUCCAGGAAAUAUCAGCCAAAUGAAGGAAGGAGGGAAUGCACCACAAGACCAGACAAUUGUGCCCAUUCGUUGCAAAUGAAGAGCGAUGUGAGCAGGGAAGGCAGCCGCUCAUUCGGGAAAGGCUUUGCCUUCGAUGAUGAUGUGGUGAAGGAGGGAGUGUGAUAAGGGACCAGCCUGCGGAGGGCUGAUGCUAGAAGUGGACCCCGGGUAUCCUGAUGGCAGAGACUAUAGAGCUCUGGUCUCCACACCGUCUGAAGGCCUUUGUUCCAAGUCGCGUCUAGUGCUCUGCGACUCUAACGUCUUUCUUCUUCACUGAUGUGUAGUUAGUUUCCUGCUAACCUGAAUAAAAGCUUCUCCCGGCCAGCUGGUUAGCUGCACUGUCCCGAGACCACCAGGAGACAUGCAGAGAUGGCAGAUGCCAUGCUUCAUGGGAAGAGAAGAUGGGCUGUGGUGACAGACCAUAUAGCUGUCCCCUCUUCUCGUGCCAUCCUUCCCUGUGUCCCUGCCUUUGUGUAAUCCCGCCCCCCUCCGCAUAACUAAUAAAAUAUGGCAAACACGGGGGGAUGCCACUCUGUGAUUAUUUAA